rnacentral:lncRNA from 1 species
AACCAUCACCGAGCGUGCACCACUGUACCGACGUCGGAUCGAAAUACCCACCUGUAAGGAUGUCGCGCCUGUCUCCUGACUGCGAAAGAAUGUCAACCGGACCUAAGAAGGGUCCACCAGGUUAGUAUCUAACCCAGAACUAAUAACCACAGUAUCCAUAACCCCACAAACUAAUCCCACGGAGAUCGGUUUACCAAUACCGAUUACUGUAACUCGCCGGAAGUCCCAAAAAUCGCACCGA